GAUGAAGAACGCAGCGAAAUGCGAUAAGUAGUGUGAAUUGCAGAAUUCAGUGAAUCAUCGAAUCUUUGAACGCACAUUGCGCCCCUUGGUAUUCCGAGGGGCAUGCCUGUUCGAGCGUCAUUAUAACCCCUCAAGCUCAGCUUGGUGUUGGGGCCUGCUGCACUGGCAGCCCUUAAAAUCAGUGGCGGCGCCAUCUGGCUCUAAGCGUAGUAAUUCUUCUCGCUAUGGAGUCCUGGUGGAUGCUUGCCAUCAACCCCCAAUUUUUCUAUGGUUGACCUCAGAUCAGGUAGGGAUACCCGCUGAACUUAAGCAUAUCAAUAAGCGGAGGA
rnacentral:misc_RNA from 1 species